AUUGAACGCUGGCGGGAUGCCUUACACAUGCAAGUCGAACGGCAGCACGGACUUCGGUCUGGUGGCGAGUGGCGAACGGGUGAGUAAAGUAUCGGAACGUACCCAGUAGCGGGGGAUAACUACGCGAAAGCGUAGCUAAUACCGCAUACGUCCUACGGGAGAAAGCGGGGGACCUUCGGGCCUCGCACUAUUGGAGCGGCCGAUAUCGGAUUAGCUAGUUGGUGGGGUAAAGGCCUACCAAGGCGACGAUCCGUAGCUGGUUUGAGAGGACGACCAGCCACACUGGGACUGAGACACGGCCCAGACUCCUAUGGGAGGCAGCAGUGGGGAAUUUUGGACAAUGGGGGCAACCCUGAUCCAGCCAUCCCGCGUGUGCGAUGAAGGCCUUCGGGUUGUAAAGCACUUUUGGCAGGGAAGAAACGGACCUGGAUAAUACCUGGGUCAACUGACGGUACCUGCAGAAUAAGCACCGGCUAACUACGUGCCAGCAGCCGCGGUAAUACGUAGGGUGCAAGCGUUAAUCGGAAUUACUGGGCGUAAAGCGUGCGCAGGCGGUUCGGAAAGAAAGAUGUGAAAUCCCAGAGCUUAACUUUGGAACUGCAUUUUUAACUACCGAGCUAGAGUGUGUCAGAGGGAGGUGGAAUUCCGCGUGUAGCAGUGAAAUACGUAGAGAUGCGGAGGAACACCGAUGGCGAAAGGCAGCCUCCUGGGAUAACACUGACGCUCAUGCACGAAAGCGUGGGGGGAGCAAACAGGAUUAGAUACCCUGGUAGUCCACGCCCUAAACGAUGUCAACUAGCUGUUGGGGGCUUCGGCCCUUGGUAGCGCAGCUAACGCGUGAAGUUGACCGCCUGGGGAGUACGGUCGCAAGAUUAAAACUCAAAGGAAUUGACGGGGACCCGCACAAGCGGUGGAUGAUGUGGAUUAAUUCGAUGCAACGCGAAAAACCUUACCUACCCUUGACAUGUCUGGAAGGCCGAAGAGAUUUGGCUGUGCUCGCAAGAGAACCGGAACACAGGUGCUGCAUGGCUGUCGUCAGCUCGUGUCGUGAGAUGUUGGGUUAAGUCCCGCAACGAGCGCAACCCUUGUCAUUAGUUGCUACGAAAGGGCACUCUAAUGAGACUGCCGGUGACAAACCGGAGGAAGGUGGGGAUGACGUCAAGUCCUCAUGGCCCUUAUGGGUAGGGCUUCACACGUCAUACAAUGGUCGGGACAGAGGGUCGCCAACCCGCGAGGGGGAGCCAAUCCCAGAAACCCGAUCGUAGUCCGGAUCGCAGUCUGCAACUCGACUGCGUGAAGUCGGAAUCGCUAGUAAUCGCGGAUCAGCAUGUCGCGGUGAAUACGUUCCCGGGUCUUGCACUCACCGCC
rnacentral:rRNA from 1 species